CUGCACUAGUCGGGGAGCUAGCGGUGCCCUGUACCUGCAAUCCGCUACAGCAGGGAUGAACUCCCGCCCCCGGAGGUACGAUGUGCUGUCUGACCGUGGUAAGUGGCGAUGACGUUCCGGUCUUGCGCAACAGCAGCCCGUGAACCAUGUCAGGCGGGGAACCGAGCAGCAUUAAGCGGGUGUCGCUGUGUGCCGCGAGGGCGCCGGGACUGAGUUAACUGCCCCGGUAACGGGCAUAUCGUAGUUUCAAAGGCGGGUGUGCAG
rnacentral:SRP_RNA from 1 species